UCACCAAUCUACUAGGCUUUGAAUUUCAUGGUUAAUGUUUUGUUUAAAGUGCAUACAAGCAUGAUUCCGCCUUUUAAUUGUUUAUUGCAUGCUAUAGAUGUUGCUUAAAUGAACAUGUUUUCACAAAAUUAUCCUUCAAGUGGUAUCAGAGCCUAGGUCUAGUAGUUGGUGAAUCCUUUUGGGUUUUGUAUUAUCAUAGUUUAUGAUUUGAAUGUUGUAAUUGUUACAAGCUUUAUUCUUGCUUCUUUGAAUGUAAAUUUUGUUAGAAAAUUUGCCAUCUCAAGUUGUAGAUGUAGUUCAUAUGAGCAUGAAUAUUGGAGCUAAAAUUUGGUGCAAUGUUUUUGGGAAAAUUCGGCCAAAUCCAAAGGGUGGAUUUUUGGGUUCUUGUUUGACUUGUUAAAAGUGUUUUCAAGUAACUUUUGGAACCCCUAUGUACCCUAGUUUGGUUAUAUGUUAUUUCCCUUAAGUUUGAUUGGUUUUGGGAUGUUUUUGGGUGAAAAAUGUUCAUGGAAUUUUUUUGAGUUUUUCAUGAGUGUUAGAUAUUUAAAGUUUUGAAGUAAAUGUUUGGUGUUUUCAUGGAAAUGUUUGGUGUUUUCAAGUAACUUUACACCUUUCUAAAGUUUUGAGUUUUUGCCAAGAACAAAAAGUUUGGUGUUUUGAUUCAAAGUUUUGAUUUAUUUCAUAAAGUUUUUGUUUUAUGAUUUAUCUUAUAUUUAAAUGUGUUAGAUAUUUAUUUAGAAAGGUGUAAGAAAUAUUGGUGGGUGUGUAAGGAUUAAUUCCCUUUCACACACACCACUUGCAUGACAUUUAUGUCAUGCACCACUUGCAUGCUUUAUGUCAAAGCUUCAAAAAUCAACUCACACACCAUCACUCACUUCUCUAAAACCGGCCACUCCCUCAAUGGGAGUACUUUUGGGGCUUUUAUGCAAUUACAUAAAGUUUUGAUAUUUUUGUGUAAUUUGCACUUUGGCCCAAAAGUUUACGUUUUUACGUUUAGGUCCAAAAACGCUAAAGGAAAAAUUGUUUUGCUCCUUUAAUGAAGUUUUUGUAUUUGUUGAAAUUUUUGGGUUCUAGUUGUAAUUACAUGAAGUAGUGAACUUUUGUGUUUUUACAAAGUGACCCCAAAAGUUUAUGUUUUUGCAAUAUAGCCCAAAAGUUGAGGUUAUUGCAUUUUGGCCCAAAUUAAGUUGAGAACAAAAUUGUUUUGUCUCUUUAAAUGAGAAUUGGAUUUUCAUUUCAUUUAGCUCCAUUUAAAUCAAUUUUAUGGAUACAAAAACCAAAUGAAAAUGUUGCAUUCAAUUUAAUUAGUUAAAGCGUUAAUUGAUUAAAGGGUGAUUAUGAACCUAAGCCUACGAUAAUUGAGCUAUGUGAAAGGCCGUUCCAAAUUUGUUUGAACCAUGGGAAUGUGUAGAUUAGAUUUUGGUUGUAAUUUGAUUUGAUCAAAUGUUGUAAAAGAGCAUAAACUCUUCUUUACUUUAAAGUAAUUUGUUUUGAUCAAUUGUUGUAAAAGAGCAUAAGCUCUUCUUUACUUUAAAGUACUCAUUUUCUUGUUUUAUUUGAUAUGCAUGAAAAUGGAGUAGAGGGUCCAACGCCCCUAAGAAAACACGCCUUAAUGUGAUUAAACGCGUAACUAAAAUCAAUCACCUUCCCUAGACCGAGAUUCAACACUAGGCUCGUGUUGAAUCUAAACAAAGGUUCAUAGUCAUCCUAAAGCCCUAAGGCAACUAUAUAGUCCAUCAAAUGAAUGAAAAGUUUAUGUUAGUAGUAUCAUAUACUCUUGCUUUAAAAACCGUUUUAUAAGCAUAGUGGGAGUAUUAUAUACAACUAAAUUCAAUCAAAUGGACCAAUAGUUGUAAUAGGACCAAAAUUGUUUUAAUAAAGAUUAAAAUGAAUAUUUAUAUGUGAUGAGACCUAAAAACCCUCAACCAAACCAUUAUUAAGUUGAUAAGCGUGAGAGUGCUUUGAACACUUUUUUGUGGCCUUCCACCGUGGUAGGCUCCAAUCGUUUAUGACUUGUACACCGCCUUCACCCUAUCAUGGGGGAGUGCAAAGUGCAUGCUUAUACUCAAGAGGAGUUUAUUUAAAACAUUUGAUGAGGUUAAGGUAGGCAACGAGUGUGGCCAACAUCAUAUCAUCGUGAGGUCAUACUUAAACCCCUAUCUAAACCGGCAUGGUUGGAAAGAACUUAACUAAGAGAAAUGAUGCCAACAUCGUAUCAUCGUGAGGCAUUGUUUUCUAGAGGCCAAAAAGAUGGGUAAUCACAAGAGGUUGUUGUGAAUGAGUAAGCGUACUCUCAUUAUUAUUAAUGCUAGCCAACAUCAUAUCAUUGUGAGGUGGGCUUGGUAGUAAUGAGUCUCCCAUACCCUACUAAGAGUUACCUCCAAAACUCUCGAAUUCCAAUGAGGGAUAUGGAAUUUGCCAAAAAUAUGAAGGGAAAUCUAUGAGAUUCAUGUAUGGGAUUUCUAAAUGACUAUCAUGCAUAUCCAAAAC
rnacentral:lncRNA from 1 species